AUUGAACGCUGGCGGCAUGCUUUACACAUGCAAGUCGAACGGCAGCGGACCUUCGGGUGCCGGCGAGUGGCGAACGGGUGAGUAAUAUAUCGGAACGUACCUUUCAGUGGGGGAUAACGUAGCGAAAGUUACGCUAAUACCGCAUAUUCUGUGAGCAGGAAAGCAGGGGAUCGCAAGACCUUGCGCUGAUUGAGCGGCCGAUAUCAGAUUAGCUAGUUGGUGAGGUAAAGGCUCACCAAGGCGACGAUCUGUAGCGGGUCUGAGAGGAUGAUCCGCCACACUGGAACUGAGACACGGUCCAGACUCCUACGGGAGGCAGCAGUGGGGAAUUUUGGACAAUGGGCGCAAGCCUGAUCCAGCCAUGCCGCGUGAGUGAAGAAGGCCCUCGGGUUGUAAAGCUCUUUCGGCCGGGAAGAAAUCGCACAGGUUAAUACCCUGUGUGGAUGACGGUACCGGAAUAAGAAGCACCGGCUAACUACGUGCCAGCAG
rnacentral:rRNA from 1 species